rnacentral:rRNA from 1 species
GAUGAACGCUGGCGGCGUGCCUAAUACAUGCAAGUCGAGCGAACAGACGAGGAGCUUGCUCCUCUGACGUUAGCGGCGGACGGGUGAGUAACACGUGGAUAACCUACCUAUAAGACUGGGAUAACUUCGGGAAACCGGAGCUAAUACCGGAUAAUAUAUUGAACCGCAUGGUUCAAUAGUGAAAGACGGUUUUGCUGUCACUUAUAGAUGGAUCCGCGCCGCAUUAGCUAGUUGGUAAGGUAACGGCUUACCAAGGCAACGAUGCGUAGCCGACCUGAGAGGGUGAUCGGCCACACUGGAACUGAGACACGGUCCAGACUCCUACGGGAGGCAGCAGUAGGGAAUCUUCCGCAAUGGGCGAAAGCCUGACGGCGCAACGCCGCGUGAGUGAUGAAGGUCUUCGGAUCGUAAAACUCUGUUAUUAGGGAAGAACAAAUGUGUAAGUAACUAUGCACGUCUUGACGGUACCUAAUCAGAAAGCCACGGCUAACUACGUG